rnacentral:tRNA from 1 species
UGGGGUAUAGCUCAGUUGGUAGAGCACACGACCGAUAAUCGUGUGGUCGCUGGUUCGAGUCCAGCUACCCCAACCA